AGGGUCUUGAGCAGCCUCUAUGCAUUUCGGUGUGUAUGCCAAUGUUCUCGUACUCGGUUCGGAGCUAGUUGUUGUGUUGCGAGCGUGUGCACUUCUCCUCCGGUAGGACGUUGCGACUCGUUGGGUGCCGGUCUAAGGCCCGGUGUGGAGCCCAUUGCGUUUGGCAUUUAUUUGUCUUGCGUAGUGGACCAUCGGUGUUCCCGACCGGCCCGCUUGACGGUAUUGAGAUGGCGCGGGGCCGCGACUUGUUCGCGCUCAGCCCGUCGCAAGCACACUCGGUUCUUACCAUGGAGCCACGGACCUAGUGCCGUGCCCUGGCCCGAGUGGCUGUUCGCGACGGUGUCCUUGAGCAGACUCCGAUACACACGCCGGUCAGCGACGAUACUGAUUUGGGUAAUUUCAGGGCCCGUCUUGAAACACGGACCAAGGAGUCUAGCAUGUGCGCGAGUCAUUGGGUACUCUAGCAAGCCCCACAGGCGAGAUGAAAGUAAAACAAUGUUUAAUUAUAUAUUGAAUGAUUGAAGGGAAGAUGGGCUGUGUCGCGGCACGGCCUCGCACUCCCGGGGCGUCUCAAUAUCGCAUUGCGCGAUGAGGCGCACAUAGAGCGUACA
rnacentral:rRNA from 1 species